ACAUAACCUAGAUUGCGCAUGGUGAUACAUACAUAGUGA
rnacentral:guide_RNA from 1 species